rnacentral:lncRNA from 1 species
CAUGAACUGAUCAAGAGAUGAUCCAAGAACAUUUGCAUCAUCAAUUCUUGCUUUGAAAUGCUUCUAAAAACCAAAUUCUUGGUUCUUAUCACAGAUAUAUUCAGUCAGUUUUCUGAUGGAUGCAGCUCAGGGUCUGCUUUUCUAAAAAUUUUCUUGGGUUAUUUUUAAUGCAUUAAAAUUUUUGAGAAUCAUGGGUAAAGGUGAUAACUAAAGCCUUGUGGUAGAGAAGAUUAUUUGGGAGAAAGCAUAAAGCAUGGAGAGAUUUUUACCAAAUGAACAAGGUUAUAGACAAGAAUGGUAAUGUCUUGCAGAAACUACGGAGUUUGAAAAAACUGUUUAAAAAGGAAGAUUCUUGAGAGUAGAGAAAGUAGUAAUGGGAAGAUAAAAGUUUUACGGAGGUGAGGUGGUGAAGACUUCAGAGAGAGCCACAUCAUGUUUUGUAAAGAGGUUGCCUAAAAAGAGACAGGAAAAGAACACUGGUUUCAUCAAUUUGUCAGUCAUCACUGACCCUUGAGGCAGUCGUUUCAAUAAACUGAUGGGAGUGAAAAUAAUAUGAUAUCGUAAAGCACUGAAGGAACUGAAGAUUCAGAGAUAAACUAUUUUGAGACUGUUUUCCUUUUAUGGGAGGACGGUAUAUGUUGUUCAUAACUCAGUUUAAUUUCUGUUUCAAAUUCUCAUUCAUCUAAGGAAGAGAACAUGUGAUGUCAGUGGGGGAUUUACCCUGUACUUUACUCUCCUAGAAUGUGCAGCCUCCAACUUUGUGUUCAGGUGGGUCCAGGCAGAUCAUCGCUGAGAUGAUCUGGCCCGUCUUUAAGGAGCCUUUCAACCUGACAGCUUUCCCUCUCCUCUCAAAUCAUAUUAAGGCGGGGGAAUCCAUGGGGCAGGUGUGGCCUGGCAUGUAGAGUUGUAUCAAACAGACGUUUCCUCUUGGAGCAAACUCUCUGGGGUUUCCUCUUGAGUAUCACAUACCCAUCCUGGAGUUUCUGUUGUGCACCAGGGCUUCUCCCCUUGAAACCCUCUUCUCUUCCCCAGAUGCCAUUCCAGAUAUGUUACACAUAUUAUGUACACACUUUAUUCUGGAUGACAUUUUUAAAAAUAUUUUAUUUUAUUAUUAUUAAAGUAUAGUUGAUUUACAAUGUUUCUUCAAGUCCUUUUGUACAGCAAAGUGACCCAAUCACACACACUUCCCUGUGCUGUACAGCGGGACCCCAUUGUACAUCCAUUCUAGAUAUAACCGUUUGCACCCCCCAAGUGCCUAUCCAUCCCACUCCUUCCCCUUCCCCCCCAGUCUGCUCUUCUUGGCCAUAAUCUGUUUCCGUUUUUUGGUUGCUUAUUUGUUUGUUUGUUAUUUUUAGAUGGGAUCAUCCGUUCCAUAUUUUAGAUUCCACAAGUAAGUGAUGUCAUAUAUUUGUCUUUUUCUUUCUGGCUUACUUCACUCAGUAUGAGUCUCUAGAUCCAACCGUGUUGCUGCAAAUGGCAUUAGUUUUGUCUUUUUUAUGGAUGGGUAGUAUUCCAUUGUGUAUAUAUACCACAUCUUCUUAAUCCAUUCAUCUGUUGAUGGACAUUAAAGUUGUUUUCCACAUCUUGGCUAUUGUGAAUAGUGUUGCCAUGAACAUAGGGUUGCUUGUAUCUUUUUCAAUGAAAGUUUUAGCAAGAGUCACAGCUCGAGCCUAAACUCUAUUUGAGAAUUGGGUGUGUGAGUACACCUGGAAAAGAAGGAGGGGAGAGAGGCCCAUGUACCUGGGGAAGGGCCAGGGUGAGGAGAGGAGCUCUUUCGAAGGGAAAAGAGUCCAAAUGUGAUUUGUGUAGAGUACACAGGAAUGAUCCAGAGGACAGCUUGGCAUCUGUCGGAUGGUUCCUGGUUUAACUCUUAGGUGGUUCUGCAACAACAGAGCUAAUAUAAAUUAAAAGAGUCAUUUCUCCAAACUCCCCACAGGACACUGACUUACAAAUUGUUAACUACAUUGAGAAUUGCUGGUCCUUGAAGGAGAAGCAGUAGUACAGGCCAUAGCAGAUUGGUGACGGGACAGAGGCAUCUUUUUUGUCAGUAUAUUCUGUCUUUCACUUCGAUAAACAGUAACCUUGCUACAGAUAUGGAUACUGUUAAGACUUGGACAACGGCAAUCUUACAGCCUCUGGAAGGCAACAGUGGGCAACGCUGGCAUAAAUGCCACUUUCAGCAGCCCUCCAGGGGGCUAACAGAGAAAGAGAGAAACCUGCUGAAGGAUUUCAGUGUUGUUGGUGAGUCUGUUUUUUUUUUUUUUUUUUUUUUUAUCUGGGGUAUAGUGAACAAACAGAUGAAAUUGAAUAGAAAACUGAGAUUCAAAGAAUUAAGCAAACUUGUAUAAAAUUCUAUACAGGGCUAAUAGGAUCAUUUGUCUACUCAUGCUAUCAUCUUCCUAUUUGGAAGGAGAAGAUUCCAGGGAAGAAAAAAAGAUUGUAAUUAUCUCACAGUAAUCGAUGGCAGGGUCUUGGAUAAAUUAGGGGAAGAUAAAAUUAAGAAUAUAGCUGGAGGAAUUAAUUAAAGACAUUUAGAAAAUGGAAUGUAAGGAAUUCAAGCAGAGGUAUUUCAGACAAAAGAUUAUAAGCAUAUGGAAUCAGAUAAGAAAGCUAGCUGAGUUUUCAGCAUACAAAGUAAUUAAAGAAAGACAUCUGGAACAGGAGAGAAAUAAGAGAAGCAGAGGACAUAAAAGAUAGGUUUGAGAUAAACUAAGGAGUGUUUUGGUAAGGCCAGAUGUUUUUUUUUUCUCCUUUGCUUGACAUAUAUUAUGUCUUUCUUAACCACAAUCCCAAACAUUGCACAUUUCAACAUGUAUAUUUGUCUCUAGAAAUAUCUAGGACCUAUAUAAAUGUAUCCGCGAAUGAUUCAAAGAUCAACGUGCCCCUUUUUCAUGGUUAACUUAGCUUUUGUCUAGGUUCCCACAAAAGUCUGAAAUGUAUACUCAUGAUUACAUAUUUUGGGCCUCAAAAAUGACAACAAAAAUGGCUCUUUAACAUAGUUUUCUAUUGCAGUAGGAAACAACAUCCAGUAAAGUACCCCUCCAAAUGUCUUUCAUCAUGCUCUUCUCAUUAUGUGAGGCAAUUUUGAUGAUGAGGGAUGGAAGUGCAUUAUCCUUUUGUUCCCUGUUAUACUGAGGGCUAAUCACAUCAGUAUGAAUGGUGAGAAUAGGUCAUUUUACAGGGAUUCUUCUCAUUUGUGUUUAGAAGCAUAACUUCAGCUUGUGGAAUGUCUUUGGUCAUUGCCUAAAUUGUGUGAUGGUAUCGCUGGCUGCAGCUGUGUUGUGACUGGGGGAAGGCAUUGAAGAAAAGCCUGCUCACCCCAAAUAUCUUUCCCUCUGGCUGACUGUAUGUGGGAAUCACCAAUGACUGUUGUUCUCCAAAAGGACAAGAGACUCAGUGAAUGAAUAGAUUUUAUGGUAAAAUAUCUCCUUUUGACUUGACUAGGAAUAUAUUGGUUAUUCACAGGGAAUUUGGAAUACCAAAUUCUUGGAUGGGAACACAGUGCAACUAAAUUCUCUCUGGCACAAAAGAGAGCAAUGAUACAGAAUCAGUCUAGUCAGGGAAACAACCUCACAACAAAGGGGUCUGUGGUGCUGGGCUCCAUCAUUUCCAAGGUUUACUGAUAAAAUAUGUGUGGUAUUGCUGGCUGUGACUCUGAGCAAGUUGUUGUCCUCAGAUUGGUUUUU